CCUACAGGUCCUGGCAGGGCCAUGGGAAUGUUCUGGAAGGUCCUGGCAGGUACAUAAACACUCCCAGGUCCUGGCAGGGCCAUGGAGAGCAGCCCCAGGUCCUGGCAGGUACAUAAACACUCCCAGGUCCUGGCAGGGCCAUGGGAAUGUUCUGGAAGGUCCUGGCAGGUACAUAAACAUUCCCAGGUCCUGGCAGGGCCAUAAACAGGGACAGGUCCCCACAGGUCCUGGCAGGGC